GCCAGGGUGGUGAAAUUGGUAGACACGCAGGAUUUAGGAUCCUGUGGGGAUUAAACCUCGUGCAGGUUCGAGUCCUGUCCCUGGCA
rnacentral:tRNA from 5 species